rnacentral:lncRNA from 1 species
GGCUAUCAGACUCCUGCCCACAGUUUUUUUAAAGUUUCUGCUCACCUAAUUCCAUUCCCCACCCCCGACACACAAACAUAUUUUAGGUUUUGUUAUGGUAGCACCAAAAUUCCAGGAGCCAAAAUAUGUUAGUUACCUUCUGUAGAACACACUACCCCAAGAAUAAUGGCUUAAAACAAUUCGAUGUUUUAAAUGUUUUGAUAUCUCAGAGUUUCUGUAGGCCUGGUGUCCUGCAUGGCUCAGCUGGAAAGUCUUGUUUUGGGGCUACUUAUGAGGUUGCAGUCAAGAUUUCAGCUAGAGGAACAGUCAUCUGAAGGCUUGGCUGGAGCAAAAGAAUCCCAUUUCAAGGUAGCUCGCUUCAUGGUUAGCAAGUUGGUGCUCACUGUAGGCAGGAGCCCUCCUUUCCUCUCCAUAGGCUGGGUUGAGUGUCCUCAUCACACGGGGACUGUCUCACUGCAGAGUAAGCAAUGCCAGAGAGCAAGGUGGAAGCCACCACGUCUUUUAGAGCUCAGCAUCAGUUGUCACACUAUGCCCCCUCCGCAGUAGUUUAUUGAUGUCAGACCACCCAUGGCUGAGUGUGGGGAGGACAAUGAAAGAUGAGAAUACCAGGAAGAUCACUGGAGGCAAUCUGCAGGAUCUGGCCAUCACAGUAUGCGGGGCUGAAUUGUGCUCCCUCCAGACUCAUUUCCACCCAGAACCUCAGAAAGUGACCACAUUUGGAAAUCUCUUUAGAUGUUAAUUAGUUAAGAUUAACUAAUAUUUCUAGUAUUAGUAUUAUUGAUACUACUAAUAAUACUAAGUAAUACUAGAUUAGCAGACCUUAAUUCCAAUGGCUAGUAUUCUUAUAAAAAGGCCACAGACUCCAUGUAAAGAUGGAGGCAGAAAUCUGAGUCAUGCAGCUGCAAACCAAGAAGCACCUGGGUUUGCCAGCAACCACCAGAAGUAGGAUGAGGCAAGGAAGACUUCUUCCUGAGAGCUUUCAGAGAGACAUGGCUUUGAUAAGCCUCCAUCACUGUGAGAGAAUAUAUCUCCAUUACUUUAAGCCACUCAGUUUUUAGUAAUUUGUUAUGGCAGUCCUAGGAAGGUAACACACACAUAUUCUUUACAUUUUAGGUGCUUAUUAAUAUAAUUGGUUUCCCACCAUACUGAUAAUCUAUUAGUUUACAAAAAGAGGAAUCAGUCAUACAGUGCUCAAUUAAGUGAAAGAGCAAAACAAACAACAUAUGAAACUCUGUGUCAUAACCCACUCAUUCCAGUCCUGUGUGUGACUAUUUCAACAUGAAUUUGUUAAUUACAUUUAUUAAGCAUCUACUAGUUGCAGGAUUCCAUGCUGGAUAUGCUGGAAGAAUUUUAAUUCAAACAGCAUGCAGUUCCUAUUUAUAAAUUGAUUGUUCUUUUAUAGAGGAAAUAUCAAGUAAGCAAAGCACAUGAGAAUUUUUUUAAAAGAGAUAAUUAUGACUCAAAUGGAAUGCAUAGGACCAGUCAUUAAAAUAAAGUCCAGAUUUCAUUAGUUUUGCAAAAGAGAAAAUAUACACAACAAAGAAAUGUCAGGGUGGAUAAAUGUAACUUGGAGGGAUAAAAACAAAAGAACAAGAUCAAGUCAAAUUGUCUCCCAGUUGCAUGACAUAGAGUCCUGUGAACAUACCAUCAGUCAUGCCAUUUCCAUACCCUAGAGUACCCUCUUUCUGCCUAUCUCCACUGACUCUAACCUCUUGACCCAGUUCCUGUUCCCAAUCCUCCUUUCUAGAUAGCCUCCUAUUUCUCUGAUUUCCUAUUACUCUUACCAUCCUCAACAUUUACUAAGCCCUUAGCCAUGCUGUAUACCCUUUAAGUGGUAUUUACAUCUUUGGGGAGGGGUCACAUUUUAUGUCUUCCCACAGUAGGUACCCAAGAUAUAUGUGUGACUACUGCUGAUUCCUACUGGUGAUGAAUUUUUAAUGUUAGUUUUUAAUUAAGUUCAGCUAACUAUUAUUAUUUGAAUUGGAUCAUGUCUGUUCUCGACUAUGUAACUAACACAAUGGAAACUUGCUUAAAUAACCCUCUGUGUAAAUUUUUUUUAUUUUUAUUUUUUGUCUUUUUGCCAUUUCUUGGGCCACUCCCACGGCAUAUGGAGGUUCCCAGGCUAGGGGUCUAAUGGGAGCUGUAGCUGCCGGCCUACACCAGAGCCACAGCAACAUGGGAUCCGAGCCGAGUCUGCGACCUACACCACAGCUCACGGCAACGCUGGAUCGUCAACCCACUGAGCAAGGGCAGGGAUCGAACCGGCAACCUCAUGGUUCCUAGUUGGACUCGUUAACCACUGCGCCACGACAGGAACUCCUGUAAAUUUUUUUAAAUGGACUGUCUUCCUGAGAUAUCUCCCCACCAAAAUCUUUGCCCUCCUUACAUAACUCUCUCCCAUGAACCAAAGCAGCAAGUGAGAACAAGGCUACAAUUAGGUUUAAACUAACAAUCUGAGAAAGACAUAUGAAUUCUCCUCCUUUCUGAGACAAUGUGGGAAAUAGCAGGAAUGAUGGGAGAAAGAAAAAUAUACACUUUUGUAAGUGGGAAUAGUACAUAUUUUUUAAGAGCUGAAAAUAUGAGAGCAUAUUUGCUUUCAAAGAUGUGUCUUUUCUUUCUUAUGCCUAACAAUCAAAACUAUGACCAGUAAGGCCCCCUUAUCAAGUUCUACUUGUGACUUAUUCAUUCAGGAAACAAUGGAUGCCUUCAGUGUUAGGGCUGGAAAUAAAACCAAAACUUCAGUCUAAUGGUAAAGGUGAGUGAGAAAGCUGCUUCCUCAGGUAAAGAGGAAAGGAUUAUUCAAAUCUCUAAAGUGGUGUCUUACUUUUUUAUUUUUUGGCCACACCAACAUGGAAGUUCCCAGGCCAGGGAUUGAACCCAAACCUCAGAAGUGACCCGAGUCACAGUGGGAACUCCAAUGGUGUCUAAUUUAGAAGGGAUUAUACAGCCUUAGGGUGAUUCCUGUUUAGAAACUUGCUUUCAAAGACUGAAAAGAAAAAGUAAUCAAUUUAAAAAGAAAAAAUCUUCGCACAUUUUGUGGAUAAUAUUAGAGUGAGAUGCUGCAUGUGUCUCCCUAGCUUAUAGUGCAUUAAUUUGAAAUCUAUCCAAGCCUAACUCUUGAUUUCUGUCUCAGCUACCACCACCUACCCCUGCCAGCGUAUAAGGGCUCUUCCUACAAUCUUCCUCCAUCUCAGUAAACAUCAUCAUUUACCAAAUCAGACCAAACCUUAAGGUUUUCCCUAAUUCACCUCUUUUUCUCAAUCCUAUAUUCAUUCAUCAGCAAGUACAUUCAAUUCUCCUUCAAAAAAAAUGUUCCCAAACCAAUCACUUCUCAUUUCCUCCCCUGCUAUCACCGCAUUCCAAGCCAGCUUCAUCUCUGACCAAAGGAUAACAAUAGCUUCUUAACUGGACUGUCUGCUUCCAUUCAGAACCUUCACUUUGUUCUAUACAAAGAGUCAAAGUGACUCUUUAAAUAAAAAAUCAGAUCAUGUCAUUUCUACAAUCUUAUCUCUUUCAUAGCUUCAGCAUUUACAAUAAAAUCAAAAACCUCCACCAUGGUCUUCCAGGUUCCAUAUGACCUGAGCCCUGGCCCCCUCUCCCACCUCAUUUACUCAUUACUUGUGCUCUGGCUCACUGUACUUCAGCCCUGCUGGCCUCCUGGGUGGUCCCCCUGAUAUGUCAGGGACAUUCCCAUUGUCAGGUUUCUGUACAUACUGUUCUUUGCCCUCAGAAGAGGAUGCUGCUCCCUGGACACAGUCUGGUCCCUACUCACGUGUCACUUCCUCCAUGAGGCCAUCCCCAAAAACCUUAUCCACAAUGGCACCCUUGUCACGCUGCCUGCUUUUCCUUCAACAGCUCUUUCCUUCAAUGGCACUGGUCUCCACCUGGCAUUACCUAAUGGAAGAGAUACUUGACUAAAAAGGACUAGGAGUUCAGAAAGAGGACAAUGGAAGAAGAUCAUUCCAAGAAGACAGGGUUCAAGGAGACAGAUGUGACUCAAGUGUGUACCCGCAGAGAAGAGGCUGUCCCCACAAGUCAUUUGUGUAGCACCUCUGCACUUACUGAGUUUACAUCCACAUCGGUUUUCAGAGUCAUUUAUAGGAGUAUCAGUUCCUAAUUUGACCAAUUCCAAUACCACAGAAUUAUUAUCCUAAAUUCAGCCUUCUUUUUGUGAUUGUAAUACACAAGACAGUUAUAAAAUUAGCCUAAUUCUGCUCAAUCAACAUUUGAUUCUUUACUACAGGAUAGACAUGGGCGAGGUGCCAGAAGAAAAGAAAAUAUUCAAAAUGAAUGAAAUGUGGUUCCUGUAGUGAUGGCAAGUAUAAAUGACCAGUUAUAUGACCUAAAAAGAAUGAAAUGUGGUUCCUGUAGUGAUGGCAAGCAGUAUAAAUGACCAGUUAUAUGACCUAAAAAAACAAAAACAAAAACAAAAAAACCUAAAAAAAAAAAA